GUGGGGAAUCUUCCGCAAUGGACGAAAGUCUGACGGAGCAACGCCGCGUGAGUGAUGAAGGUCUUCGGAUUGUAAAGCUCUGUUAAUCGGGACGAAAGAGCCUAGUGUGAAUAAUGCUAGGAAGUGACGGUACCGGAAUAGAAAGCCACGGCUAACUACGUGCCAGCAGCCGCGGUAAUACGUAGGUGGCAAGUGUUGUCCGGAAUUAUUGGGCGUAAAGCGCGCGCAGGCGGAUCUGCCAGUCUGUCUUAAAAGUUCGGGGCUUAACCCCGUGAUGGGAUGGGAACUACAGAUCUAGAGUAUCGGAGAGGAAAGUGGAAUUCCUAGUGUAGCGGUGAAAUGCGUAGAUAUUAGGAAGAACACCAGUGGCGAAGGCGACUUUCUGGACGAAAACUGACGCUGAGGCGCGAAAGCCAGGGGAGCGAACGGGAUUAGAAACCCGGGUAGUCC
rnacentral:rRNA from 1 species